UCACCCGCCGCGGGAGAGCCGAGCGCACGCGCACGGCACCGAAGGAGCAACCUCCCCGUCAAUCUCUCAGGUCCCACACCGCAGCGGACAG
rfam:Curtobacterium sp. ER1/6 Contig_2, whole genome shotgun sequence.